CGUUGUUAUUAUUAUUCUCAGAGCAGUGGUCCAACUUUCUCUCUUUCAUUUUCAUUUGAAAGUGCUUUUGCACUGGUAGUGGUCCCUGCUUUCGUUCUGUGUGAACUGGGUCGCUUUAGGUGGUCCAAACUUUGCAAGGUUCUAGUCAUUGGAGAUGGUGGCCAAGAUGUCUUUCAUACAAUUUUUUGCCUUGUUCCUUGUCAUCUCAGGUGUUUCAAUGACAAGGGAAGUGGUGGGAGAGAAAGAGUGUUUGUGUGAGAAGGUGGUGCAAUACGGUGAUUGUGACUUCAAUGCCUGUGCGAUGUUAUGUGAAUAUAUGAUCAAGAGCAAGUUGAUCUCCUCACAGUGCGUUAUUGCGGAGACUCCACAAUGUGUUUGUUUCUAUACCUGCUAAUUAACUCAAAUAAUUUUAAUAUAUUACUCAUGUUUACAAAUUUCUCAUUAUAUAAAUAAGAUGUCACUUCACUUUUAGUCAAGCUCUUUGGUAACAUUUUUUUUUUUAGUGUUUUAGAACAUUUCCAAUGGAAGUGUUUUAUGAAAGGGUUGAUUAAUUGGUCUUUGAAAUACUUUUAGCAUGGAAACAUGUGAAUUGGCGAUGCUUACACAAGUAUGGUACAAUUUCAAGUAGAUU